rnacentral:rRNA from 1 species
CCUACGGGAGGCAGCAGUAAGGAAUAUUGGACAAUGCUCGCAAGAGUGAUCCAGCCAUGCCGCGUGCAGGAAGAAUGCCCUAUGGGUAGUAAACUGCUUUUGAACUAGAGAAAAUCCCAGUACGUGUACUGGGCUGAUAGUAUAGUUAGAAUAAGCAUCGGCUAACUUCGUGCCAGCAGCCGCGGUAAGACGAAGGAUGCAAGCGUUAUCCGGAUUCAUUGGGUUUAAAGGGAGCGUAGGUGGACUGAUAAGUCAGUGGUGAAAUCUCCGAGCUUAACUCGGAAAUUGCCAUUGAUACUGUUGGUCUUGAGUACAGUUGCUGUGGGCGGAAUAUGACAUGUAGUGGUGAAAUACAUAGAGAUGUCAUAGAACACCGAUUGCGAAGGCAGCUCACAAAGCUGUAACUGACACUGAGGCUCGAAAGUGCGGGGAUCAAACAGGAUUAGAUACCCUGGUAGUCCGCACCGUAAACGAUGAUUACUCGCUGCUAGGGGGCAACCGUUUAGUGGCUUAGCGAAAGCGAUUAAGUUAAUCCACCUUGGGGAGUUCGCCGGCAACGGGUUGAAACGUUCAAAGAGAGUUAGGACGGNGNGAGAGNGACGGACGGACGACGACGGAGGAGGAAG